rnacentral:rRNA from 3 species
UCUGGUGCCGAUGCGCUUAGGGGAAACACCCGUACCCAUCCCGAACACGAUGGUUAAGACCUAAGCGGCCGAUGGUACUAUGCUGGAGACGGCAUGGGAGAGCAGGUGGGUGCCAGAU